rnacentral:rRNA from 1 species
UACAGAGGUCUCAAGCGUUGUUCGGAUUCAUUGGGCGUAAAGGGUGCGUAGGUGGCGCCAUAAGUCAGGUGUGAAAUCUCGGGGCUCAACCUCGAAACUGCACUUGAUACUGUGGUGCUUGAGUACUGGAGAGGAGAUUGGAAUUUACGGUGUAGCAGUGAAAUGCGUAGAUAUCGUAAGGAAGACCAGUGGUGAAGGCGAAUCUCUGGACAGUUACUGACACUGAGGCACGAAGGCCAGGGGAGCAAACGGG